rnacentral:tRNA from 1 species
GGCAAAGUGCCAGAGUGGUUAAUGGGUCAGCCUCGAAAACGCUCCUCUGCCUUAACAAGCAGUUGAGCUCACGUAAGCUGAUGGCUUCGGUCGCGCAGGUUCGAGUCCUGUCUUUGUCG